UACGGAGGGAGCUAGCGUUGUUCGGAAUUACUGGGCGUAAAGCGCACGUAGGCGGCUUUGUAAGUUAGAGGUGAAAGCCUGGAGCUCAACUCCAGAAUUGCCUUUAAGACUGCAUCGCUUGAAUCAUGGAGAGGCGGGUGGAAUUCCGAGUGUAGAGGUGAAAUUCGUAGAUAUUCGGAAGAACACCAGUGGCGAAGGCGGCCCGCUGGCCCGGUACUGACGCUGAAAUACGAAAGCGUGGGGAGCAAACAGG
rnacentral:rRNA from 1 species